GACGAACGUUGGCGGCGUGCUUAACACAUGCAAGUCGAACGGAAAGGCCCUGCUUUUGUGGGGUGCUCGAGUGGCGAACGGGUGAGUAACACGUGAGUAACCUGCCCUUGACUUUGGGAUAACUUCAGGGAACUGGGGCUAAUACCGGAUAGGAGCUCCUGCUGCAUGGUGGGGGUUGGAAAGUUUCGGCGGUUGGGGAUGGACUCGCGGCUUAUCAGCUUGUUGGUGGGGUAGUGGCUUACCAAGGCUUUGACGGGUAGCCGGCCUGAGAGGGUGACCGGCCACAUUGGGACUGAGAUACGGCCCAGACUCCUACGGGAGGCAGCAGUGGGGAAUAUUGCACAAUGGGCGGAAGCCUGAUGCAGCAACGCCGCGUGCGGGAUGACGGCCUUCGGGUUGUAAACCGCUUUCGCCUGUGACGAAGCGUGAGUGACGGUAAUGGGUAAAGAAGCACCGGCUAACUACGUGCCAGCAGCCGCGGUGAUACGUAGGGUGCGAGCGUUGUCCGGAUUUAUUGGGCGUAAAGGGCUCGUAGGUGGUUGAUCGCGUCGGAAGUGUAAUCUUGGGGCUUAACCCUGAGCGUGCUUUCGAUACGGGUUGACUUGAGGAAGGUAGGGGAGAAUGGAAUUCCUGGUGGAGCGGUGGAAUGCGCAGAUAUCAGGAGGAACACCAGUGGCGAAGGCGGUUCUCUGGGCCUUUCCUGACGCUGAGGAGCGAAAGCGUGGGGAGCGAACAGGCUUAGAUACCCUGGUAGUCCACGCUGUAAACGGUGGGUACUAGGUGUGGGGUCCAUUCCACGGGUUCCGUGCCGUAGCUAACGCUUUAAGUACCCCGCCUGGGGAGUACGGCCGCAAGGCUAAAACUCAAAGGAAUUGACGGGGCCCCGCACAAGCGGCGGAGCAUGCGGAUUAAUUCGAUGCAACGCGUAGAACCUUACCUGGGUUUGACAUGGAUCGGGAGUGCUCAGAGAUGGGUGUGCCUCUUUCGGGGUCGGUUCACAGGUGGUGCAUGCCUGUCGUCAGCUCGUGUCGUGAGAUGUUGGGUUAAGUCCCGCAACGAGCGCAGCCCUUGUUCACUGUUGCCAGCACGUUAUGGUGGGGACUCAGUGGAGACCGCCGGGGUCAACUCGGAGGAAGGUGGGGAUGACGUCAAGUCCUCAUGCCCCUUAUGUCCAGGGCUUCACGCAUGCUACAAUGGCUGGUACAGAGAGUGGCGAGCCUGUGAGGGUGAGCGAAUCUCGGAAAGCCGGUCUCAGUUCGGAUUGGGGUCUGCAACUCGACCUCAUGAAGUCGGAGUCGCUAGUAAUCGCAGAUCAGCAACGCUGCGGUGAAUACGUUCCCGGGGCU
rnacentral:rRNA from 1 species